rnacentral:rRNA from 1 species
AUUGAACGCUGGCGGCAUGCUUUACACAUGCAAGUCGAACGGCAGCGCGGGCUUCGGCCUGGCGGCGAGUGGCGAACGGGUGAGUAAUGCAUCGGAACGUGCCCAGUAGUGGGGGAUAGCCCGGCGAAAGCCGGAUUAAUACCGCAUACGACCUGAGGGUGAAAGCGGGGGACCGAAAGGCCUCGCGCUAUUGGAGCGGCCGAUGUCGGAUUAGCUAGUUGGUGGGGUAAAGGCUUACCAAGGCGACAAUCCGUAGCUGGUCUGAGAGGACGACCAGCCACACUGGGACUGAGACACGGCCCAGACUCCUACGGGAGGCAGCAGUGGGGAAUUUUGGACAAUGGGGGCAACCCUGAUCCAGCCAUGCCGCGUGCGGGAAGAAGGCCUUCGGGUUGUAAACCGCUUUUGUUCGGGAAGAAAUCCUCUGGGCUAAUACCCCGGGGGGAUGACGGUACCGGAAGAAUAAGCACCGGCUAACUACGUG